CCUUGGGUGGAUUAGUGGCGACGGGUGAGUAACACGUGGGCAAUCUGCCCUUCACUCUGGGACAAGCCCUGGAAACGGGGUCUAAUACCGGAUAACACUUUCCCUCUCAUGGGGGAAGGUUAAAAGCUCCGGCGGUGAAGGAUGAGCCCGCGGCCUAUCAGCUAGUUGGUGGGGUAAUGGCCUACCAAGGCGACGACGGGUAGCCGGCCUGAGAGGGCGACCGGCCACACUGGGACUGAGACACGGCCCAGACUCCUACGGGAGGCAGCAGUGGGGAAUAUUGCACAAUGGGCGAAAGCCUGAUGCAGCGACGCCGCGUGAGGGAUGACGGCCUUCGGGUUGUAAACCUCUUUCAGCAGGGAAGAAGCGAAAGUGACGGUACCUGCAGAAGAAGCGCCGGCUAACUACGUGCCAGCAGCCGCGGUAAUACGUAGGGCGCAAGCGUUGUCCGGAAUUAUUGGGCGUAAAGAGCUCGUAGGCGGCUUGUUGCGUCGGUUGUGAAAGCCCGGGGCUUAACCCCGGGUCUGCAGUCGAUACGGGCAGGCUAGAGUGUGGUAGGGGAGAUCGGAAUUCCUGGUGUAGCGGUGAAAUGCGCAGAUAUCAGGAGGAACACCGGUGGCGAAGGCGGAUCUCUGGGCCAUUACUGACGCUGAGGAGCGAAAGCGUGGGGAGCGAACAGGAUUAGAUACCCUGGUAGUCCACGCCGUAAACGUUGGGAACUAGGUGUUGGCGACAUUCCACGUCGUCGGUGCCGCAGCUAACGCAUUAAGUUCCCCGCCUGGGGGAGUACGGCCGCAAGGCUAAAACUCAAAGGAAUUUGACGGGGGC
rnacentral:rRNA from 1 species